CAGUUCAGUAGUUGAACACUCGCUUUACAAGCGAUAGGUCGGUGGUUCGAUCCCACCAGGG
rnacentral:tRNA from 1 species